rnacentral:miRNA from 1 species
AAGACACAAGACACCAUUAAAUUUGAAUUUCAGGUGAACAGUGAAUGUUUUAGUAUAAGUAUGUCCCAUGCAAUAUUUGGGGCAUACUUAUACUAAAACAUUAUUCGUUGUUUAUGUGAAAUUCAGAUUUAACUGGCAUCCUGUAUUCU